UUGAAUCCUCAGGAUGUUGCUGGCCUUUCGGGGCAUGUGCACUCCGCCUUUUCAAUUCACCUGUGAACUUAUUGUAGGCUGGGUAGGGAAACCUACCUGUGUCUAUGUUUUUACACACACACCCUUUUAAAAAGUCUAUUAGAAUGUCUAAUGAAUAGGCCUUUACUGGUCGAAAUAUUUUAAUA
rnacentral:misc_RNA from 1 species